GUAAGUACAUAGUAAAAUAUUGAAAAACUGUGGUGUUUUUCUUUAACCUUGAUUGUUGCAAUUGACAAAAGGUACACCCAUUGGCAUGGACAGAAUGUUCUACUGUAGACUUUGAUCAUUGGUGAAUGCCAUGAAACUACCACACUAAAACUGCGGACAGUUGAUACAAUAUUAAAAUGUUGUCGUGAUUUACUUACUGAGUAUCCCUGUCACGUUGUUUUGUGAGGGAAUGGAGCUUUUUUGUGAGAGGAACAUAUCCAAAUGUGGUAUAAAGACUAGCCAUACGUUCCAUUUUUGGCGGACGCGUCCUGGACAGGAUUUCGGGUGCAUCUUCGGAAGUCGCAUUUGUCGACCGCAUACGUCAUCGAGGUUUAAUAGUUCAUGUUCUAUUUAAAAAACCAACGUUACAUUUCAAGGCCAGGACACGUCCGGUGAAAAUGGCACGUAUGGCCACCCGAUCUGGCAACAUGAGGUCCUUUAGGUACCAGGUGCUCGUGUAAAUGGGAACAGAAAAGUCUCGGAGACGGACGUGAGGUGUAAUCUUUCCCCUUCUGCAAAAACUCCAGCCAGGGCAUCCGCUCCUGCGUGGUUUUAUUUACUUCAUCUGGGAAAUCUUCUUCAUACAGUAAGGUCAGGAUUCGCUGGCUCCAAAUCGUUCCUGUCAUAGAGGAUGUAACGACUGAGCCAGAUCAGACACACAGUAACCACUUAUAUUUCAUAAAUAUCACUGCAGACCCUCAGCCAACAACAGGCUAGGCACUGGGGUCUGUAACGCUACUACCAAACUGCUUUUAACACUCAGAACCAAAACAAGGUCUCUUGUGACUAUGGCAACACAUCAAGAUUAGAGUUUUACGACCUUUUUGGAAUGUUAGGAGAGUCACGCUCUCUUCAUCCAAUUUUGAGACAGACAAAGAAACGUCUCGGUUACGUUCGGCUUCCCUGAAGGAAGGGAACGGAGAUGUCACAGAUUUUUGCUGAGAAAGCUGAGCAUCAGUUUUGUUUGAGGAAUGGAUCCAAAUUUUGGAAGGAGUAGAUAGACAUUCUUUAAGUUAAACAAAUUUUAUUAUGAAAGAAGUGAGAUGAGGGUGCUCCUGCAAACGGGAACAAAAGAGUCUUGGAGACGGACGUGAGGUGUAAUCUUUCCCCUUCUGCAAAAGCUCCAGCCAGGACAUCCGCUCAUAUGUGGUUUCAUUUACUUUUUCUGGGAAAUCUUCUUCAUACAGUGAGGUCAGGAUUUGCUGGCUCCAAACCGUU